GACGAACGCUGGCGGCGUGCUUAACACAUGCAAGUCGAACGGUGAAGCGCCUUCCUUUUUGGUGGGUGUGGAUGAGUGGCGAACGGGUGAGUAACACGUGAGUAACCUGCCCCCUUCUUCUGGAUAACCGCAUGAAAGUGUGGCUAAUACGGGAUAUUCUGGGUCUGUCGCAUGAUGGGUCUGGGAAAGAUAUUGUUUCGGUGGGGGAUGGGCUCGCGGCCUAUCAGCUUGUUGGUGGGGUGAUGGCCUACCAAGGCGGUGACGGGUAGCCGGCCUGAGAGGGUGGACGGUCACACUGGUACUGAGACACGGCCCAGACUCCUACGGGAGGCAGCAGUGGGGAAUAUUGCACAAUGGGCGCAAGCCUGAUGCAGCGACCCCGCGUGAGGGAUGGAGGCCUUCGGGUUGUGAACCUCUUUCGCCAGUGAAGCAGGCCUGCCUCGUUUGUGGGUGGGUUGACGGUAGCUGGAUAAGAAGCGCCGGCUAACUACGUG
rnacentral:rRNA from 1 species